GACGAACGCUGGCGGCGUGCUUAACACAUGCAAGUCGAACGGAAAGGCCCUGCUUUUGUGGGGUGCUCGAGUGGCGAACGGGUGUGUAACACGUGAGUAACCUGCCCUUGACUUUGGGAUAACUUCAGGAAACUGGGGCUAAUACCGGAUAGGAGCUCCUGCUGCAUGGUGUGGGUUGGAUAGUUUCGGCGGUUGGGGAUGGACUCGCUGCUUAUCAGCUUGUUGGUGGGGUAGUGGCUUACCAAGGCUUUGACGGGUAGCCGGCCUGAGAGGGUGAACGGCGACAUUGGGACUGAGAUAGGGCGCAGAAGCCAACGGGAGGCAGCAGGGGGGAAUAUUGCACAAUGGGCGGAAGCGUGAUGAAGAAACGCCGGGAGCGGGAUGACGGGCUACGGGUUGAAAACAGAUUUCGAAUGAGAAGAAGAGUGAGUGACGGUAAUGGGUAAAGAAGCACCGGCUAACUACGUG
rnacentral:rRNA from 1 species